AAGUCGUAACAAGGUUUCCGUAGGUGAACCUGCGGAAGGAUCAUCAACAAAUCUAAAAUUAUUAUUAGUAGUAUUGCAGUAAUAUGCUUACUACUUUUACCAAUGUGAAUUACUACUUUAGCAAUAGAGUAGGUUGAUUUAUUAUUAUUAUAUAUGUAUUUAUAAUAUAUAUAAUAAUAAUAGAUAUAUAAACGAGUUUUAUAUAGAGUCUGUUUUAAAAAUUAAAAUUUAUAAACAACUUUUAACAAUGGAUCUCUUGGCUCUU
rnacentral:misc_RNA from 1 species